rnacentral:rRNA from 1 species
AGGACGAACGCUGGCGGCGUGCUUAACACAUGCAAGUCGAGCGAGGCCCUUCCUUCGGGGAGGUGCCCUAGCGGCGAACGGGUGAGUAACACGUGGGCAACCUGCCCCUAGCACUGGGAUAACUCCGGGAAACCGGGGCUAAUACCGGAUAUGACCUUUGAGGGCAUCUUCGAAGGUGUAAAGGAUUCUGGCUAGGGAUGGGCCCGCGGCCUAUCAGCUUGUUGGUGGGGUAACGGCCUACCAAGGCGACGACGGGUAGCCGGCCUGAGAGGGCGACCGGCCACACUGGGACUGAGACACGGCCCAGACUCCUACGGGAGGCAGCAGUGGGGAAUAUUGCACAAUGGGCGAAAGCCUGAUGCAGCGACGCCGCGUGAGGGAUGACGGCCUUCGGGUUGUAACCUCUUUCAGCAGGACGAAGCGAAAGUGACGGUACCUACGAGAAGAAGCACCGGCCAACUACGUGCCAGCAGCCGC